rnacentral:rRNA from 1 species
UACGGAGGAUCCAAGCGUUAUCCGGAUUUAUUGGGUUUAAAGGGUGCGUAGGCGGAUUAGUAAGUCAGUGGUGAAAGCCUGCAGCUUAACUGUAGAAUUGCCAUUGAUACUGCUAGUCUUGAAUAUAGUUGAGGUGGGCGGAAUAUGACAUGUAGCGGUGAAAUGCUUAGAUAUGUCAUAGAACACCAAUUGCGAAGGCAGCUCGCUAAGCUAUUAUUGACGCUGAGGCACGAAAGCGUGGGGAGCAAACAGG